rnacentral:rRNA from 1 species
UACGUAGGUGGCGAGCGUUGUCCGGAUUUACUGGGCGUAAAGAGCGCGCAGGCGGCUGGUCAAGUCCGAUGUGAAAGCUCCCGGCUUAACUGGGAGAUUGCAUCGGAAACUGAUCGGCUGGAAGGUGGGAGAGGGUAGCGGAAUUCCCGGUGUAGUGGUGAAAUGCGUAGAUAUCGGGAGGAACACCAGUGGCGAAAGCGGCUACCUGGCCCAUUCUUGACGCUGAGGCGCGAAAGCUAGGGGAGCAAACGGG